rnacentral:rRNA from 1 species
UACGGGGGGAGCAAGCGUUGUUCGGAUUUACUGGGCGUAAAGGGCGCGUAGGCGGUCGUGACAAGUCACUUGUGAAAUCUCCGGGCUUAACUCGGAACGGUCAAGUGAUACUGUCGGACUAGAGUACAGAAGGGGCAACUGGAAUUCUCGGUGUAGCGGUGGAAUGCGUAGAUAUCGGGAGGAACACCAGUGGCGAAGGCGGCUUGCCAGAACGCGCUCGACGGUGAGGGAUGAAAGCUGGGGGAGCAAACCGGG